rnacentral:rRNA from 1 species
GACGAACGCUGGCGGCGUGCCUAAUACAUGCAAGUAGAACGCUGAAGAGAGGAGCUUGCUCUUCUUGGAUGAGUUGCGAACGGGUGAGUAACGCGUAGGUAACCUGCCUGGUAGCGGGGGAUAACUAUUGGAAACGAUAGCUAAUACCGCAUAAAAUUGAUUAUUUCAUGAUAAUUAAUUGAAAGAUGCAACUGCAUCACUACCAGAUGGACCUGCGUUGUAUUAGCUAGUUGGUGAGGUAACGGCUCAUCAAGGCGACGAUACAUAGCCAACCAGAGAUGGUGAUCGGCCACACUGGAACCGAGAAAGGGCCCAGACUCCCACGGGAGGCAGCAGUAGGGAUUCAUCGGCAAACGGGGGAAACCUGAACGAACGAGGCCGAGUCAGUGAAGAAGAUUAUCGGAUCGUAAAGAUCUGUUGUAAGAGAAGAACGGGUGUGAGACUGUAAAGUUCACACUGUGACGGUAUCUGACCAGAAAGGGACGGCUAACUACGUG